ACUCAAAUGAAUUGACGGGGGCCCGCACAAGCGGUGGAGCAUGUGGUUCAAUUCGAAGCAACGCGCAGAACCUUACCAGCCCUUGACAUGGCAGGACGGUGUCCGGAGACGGGCUCCUUCCCUUCGGGGACCUGCACACAGGUGCUGCAUGGCUGUCGUCAGCUCGUGUCGUGAGAUGUUGGGUUAAGUCCCGCAACGAGCGCAACCCUUGCCCUUAGUUGCCAUCAUUAAGUUGGGCACUCUAGGGGGACUGCCGGUGAUAAGCCGCGAGGAAGGUGGGGAUGACGUCAAGUCCUCAUGGCCCUUACGGGCUGGGCUACACACGUGCUACAAUGGCGGUGACAGAGGGAUGCUACUUCGCAAGAAGGCGCCAAUCCCUAAAAGCCGUCUCAGUUCGGAUCGUCCUCUGCAACUCGAGGGCGUGAAGUUGGAAUCGCUAGUAAUCGCAGAUCAGCACGCUGCGGUGAAUACGUUCCCGGGCCUUGUACACACCGCCCGU
rnacentral:rRNA from 1 species